rnacentral:lncRNA from 7 species
AGAAUCACAGCAGACUCCCUCAUAACAAAGUCUCUUUUUUGUUGUUAAUUAAGACAGUACCAAAAAAAACAAUAAUAAUAAUAAUAAAGUUACUUAUUCAGUCAUGAGGACUGAAUGCUCCCAGUAGGUAGUCUUUUCACAAUUCAAUUUCCCUGAUGGGACUCGAAGAGGAAAUGAAACAACAAAUUGUACUCUUGAUGAUCUAAGCAGAAGCUGCAAUUCCACAGGGAGUCCUGCUAGGUCAAUUAGUUCAUCAUGCUAACAGAAUAGCAAUCCAGAAACCAGUGUCCCACCAACAAAAGUUUGAAAAAGGGAAGUUCAAUGCCCAGUUGUAAGACAGCCUCCAGUAGAUAUUAUUGUUAGGUUCAGUAAAAGCACAUAUACAGAGUAUAAAAAUAGGGCUGCAACACUGAAAAGCAAGGGGGCUAUUCCUGUUCUGUUAGACUCACUCAUGUGAAUGCAGAAAAGCAGUCCACCUUUGUGAGAUCCCUAAUGAACGCUGACUCUACAAAAGAAGUUCAUCUUAUCAGAAUGUUUCCGUCUUAAACUAGUUGUUAAGAGCAGGACUCUGGGAUUAACAACUCUCUGACGUUUGGGAACAGAAAGGACUAUGAAUUCCACACAGCUGUAUUCUUUAUAGCUACAAAUACUGAGGUCUUACUGGCAAACUACACAGUCUCAAGGAGAAAUGCCACUUACAAGAUUAAUUUUCAGCAGAAAUCCAGUUAUCCUUUUAGACAUCAGUGUACUCACUAAUUUCCGCAAGAAGCAGAGUUCUUCAGCAAAGUAAUAAAAAAACUCAGAGGUAAUCCAGAAGAAUUGAACACUGCACAACAUCAGUUCAACAGGAUGUUCAUUGAUACAUGAGACUACUACUGAAAGACCUUGCUAUGCCCAGGGCGGUGACCCUGACAGUUGUUACCAUCUCUGCUGUAGUGAAGGACUGAAGUUUGCCUCAUGUCUACUUGUACUUGUUCAGAUGAAGAGCAUUACAUUCCUAUUUCUGCUGGAGCUCUGUGGAUGCCAUGAAGCACAUAACACAAGAGAAUUUCAUGUGUUAAUAAAGUGUGAUUGUAGCCUCCUUGCACAUGGUUAAAAUGUUCCUGCUACAUCUUGAUAGAUGAUCAGAAAUAAAGUUGACUUGUACAUAUUUGAUUACAGUACUGCUUAAAGGCUGUAUUUGACAAUAAAAGUAAAUUCAU